AUUGAACGCUGGCGGCAGGCCUAACACAUGCAAGUCGAGCGAGCGGCGGACGGGUGAGUAAUGUCUGGGAAACUGCCUGAUGGAGGGGGAUAACUACUGGAAACGGUAGCUAAUACCGCAUACCAUCAGAUGUGCCCAGAUGGGAUUAGCUAGUAGGUGGGGUAAUGGCUCACCUAGGCGACGAUCCCUAGCUGGUCUGAGAGGAUGACCAGCCCCACUGGAACUGAGACACGGUCCCGAAUCCCUCGGUGGGCAGCGAUGGGGAAUAUGGCACCAUGGGGGCAAGCCUGGUGCAGCCAUGCCGCGUUUAUGAAGAAGGCCUUCGGGUUGUAAAGUACUUUCAGCGAGGAGGCGUUACUCGCAGAAGAAGCACCGGCUAACUCCGUGCCAGCAGCCGCGGUAAUUC
rnacentral:rRNA from 1 species